UACGAAGGGGGCUAGCGUUGUUCGGAAUUACUGGGCGUAAAGUGCGCGCAGGCGGCUAUCCAAGUCCGUGGUGAAAGCCCGGAGCUCAACUCCGGAACUGCCAUUGAAACUGUUUAGCUUGAGGAUGAGAGAGGUGAGUGGAAUUCCCAGUGUAGAGGUGAAAUUCGUAGAUAUUGGGAAGAACACCGGUGGCGAAGGCGGCUCACUGGCUCAUUACUGACGCUCAGGCGCGAUAGCGUGGGGAUCAAACAGG
rnacentral:rRNA from 1 species